UUUAAAAAAAAAAAGCUCAAAAAUUUAAAUAAAUUUAAAUUUAAUUAUAAUUAAUUUUUCACAUUAAAAUAUUAUGUGACGGAUAUAUGACUGUAAAACAUUAUCAUGAAUUCAUGACAGAAAAUAUUAUGUCAUAAAUUAAUGACAGUGACAUAGAUGACGGUUAAACUGUCUGUCAUGCACCCCCUUUUAUGACAAUUAUUUUCUGUCAUUUAUUGUCUGUUUUCUUUUAGUGACGUUAGUUACAUGUUAAGUUGAAGCCUUUUUGAGCUAUUCUUAUGCUAUCUCAAAACACAGAUUUUUCUCCUUUUUUUGCUUUAGAGAGAGUAGAAAUUGAAAUGAGGGAUAAAAAUAUAGGUAAGCUGAAGAAUUUGGCAGAGAUAGUGACUUUCUCUUGUUUUUGGGUAAAACGCCUCAAUUUUCUUAAUAUCGUCAUAUGACUUUGUUUAGUAGUAGUAUGAUUAAUUAUGAUUUCUUUGAUAUUUAGGCUUUGGGUUGGCUUUUUGGUGAUUUCAAGGCUGACGUUAAUACUUGAGAAGGUGAGAGCAUGGUUUAAGAGGUUACCAAGUUAAAGCUUUUUUUAAUACUGAUUAAUCAUCAUAUUACUGCAUUACACAGAUAUUUACAACUGCUAUUAUAGCAGAUAUAUUACACUGAUAUUUACAAUCAGAAAUACAUGAUUGGGACUUAGAUUAUUACAUUGAAUUCUGUGAAGUACAUGCCCAGACAAAUAAUCCCUUACAGAAGAGGGAUGCCCAUACUCCACUCGUAUUGCACGAGGGAGAGGAAAUUUUUGAAAUAUUAAACAAAUAAGCACGUUAGCCCCCACAAAUAUUGAAGUGGCAAGUUAAAGCUUUAAGAAGGUAACUCUGCGCAAUGAUUUUUUUUUUACAUCAAAACUGAAAAGAACGGUUUUUGUUUGUUUUGCACGCCUAAUUUUACUUGAAGCAUGUGAUUUGGUGACGUUUGGGUUGCUAGAAAAUUGAUUAUAAAGUGAAAAGAUGAUAAAUAGUUUAUGGAUUUGCAGAAAAUUUAAAGAUUGUUGGACUGUUAUCUUAACUUUGAUUGUUUCUAAAUAUGAAUAAACGAUGCUUGAUUAACUUAAAAUUUUGAGUAAUAAAAGCUGAAUGUGUAUAUUUCAUUUCUGGAGAUUUAAGAAUGAAUUGAAUUAAUUGUUGAUUUUUAAUGGAUUUUUCAAAUUGGUAGGUUGCCUCGGAACGUAUCAGAAACUGUGUAUGUACCGUGUUUGAUGUUAUAAAUGAACAAUCUAAUGGUGUCAAAAUGAGCCAAAAUUUUGAAACAUUAAACUUAAAUAUGUCUACAUCAAAUUGGAAAGUUCACACUAAUUGAAAUUGUGGUUCAUAUUUUAUGAUUUUUUAAACUUUGCUACUUCAAAAGUAAAGAACAAUUCAGUUAUUUUUUUAUCUUAUGGACGACUAGCUUAAUAAUAUCAAAAAAACUUGAAAUUUUUAUACAUUAUGAAGUUAAAAUUUACGUCCAUGUUCUGAAAAUUUUCAUCCCAAUAUAUUGAGUAUUUUAAUUUUAACAAAUCACCAAAACUCAGCUAUUUGUGUGUGAAUUAAAAAGGUAGUUUUAACUAGUUUAGUUUAAUCCUAUAAGAACUUAUUGUAGAAUUGUCUAAAUGACUUGAAAAUUUUAUAUGUUGUGUGUUUAUGUGUAAUAGUAUUCUGGAACUUUUCAUAAUAAUCCGAAUAGUGUUAAAUUUUUAAAGAAAAUCAGAAGUUCAUGUUGUUGGUAUUUCCUCUCAAUAUACUAGUUUUCUGUAUUUUUGAUUGGGGUUGUAGAAAUAGAAAUAAAUAUUAUUAAAUUGAGCUAAAAUUUUAUAUUCUACGUGUGUUACAUGUCUAGAUUAUAUUUGCAAAUUUAUAUAGUGAUUGAACUGGCCUAAUAACUUAAAAGGAUUGUUGAACAAGGCAUGUCUAGAUUAUAUCUGUAGAACUCCAUGAAUUUUAUUUGUACAUCUUUUGUCAUUCAAUUUAUCAGAUUACAGACUUUGAAGUUUGGUUUUAUGAAUCGGAGAUUGACAUUAUUUUGGCUUGUUAGGGAAUUUAAUGGAUUCUUGAGAUUGAUUCCUAAAUAAUUUUUUUAAAUGUCCAUUUUUACUGUGAAUAAUUCUUAUGAACAUGGUAUUGUUCAAGAAUUGAUUUGGAAUCUUUGAGCAUGUUUUCAUGGCCUCUUGGAUGAAUGAGAUAUGAUGAGAAUCAUUAUGAUCACUAUUUUAUGGGUUAGUAGCUCAUGCAUUGCUUUUCGGGUAUUUGUUAAGGGAGAUGCUAGAAGUAGUUUGUGUGCUAUGCCUAGACAAAGCUUUGGAGUAUUUUGCGAUUUGUUACGUCCUUCAUAAGUGUUCUUUUGUUAAGAUGUAUUUUGGAGACUCAGGUUAAUGUUCUAGCACGUUAUUCUAGCAAUAUGAUAUGCAUUUUUGUUGAGUUCUAAGAGCCAAAUAUAUAUAUGUGUUGAAAAAAUAGCAUAUCAAUAUGCUAUUUUGAGGGCAUAUUUUGAGUGGGUCUCACUUAACGAAAGUGGGAAAUCUUGUGAAGUUCGGGUUCUACUCCGUGAAUACUUCGAAAAUAUAUAUUUAUUUACUCAAAAUGGUGCUUGGGUGAAUGAUAAAUUGUCUCUCAAGGUGCACCCUUGAAGUUGAAAAUAUGAAAGGAAAUGAGUUUUAUCCCACAAGGAAAAAAUAAGCCAAGGAAUUUGUGUUUAUAUAUAGACACUUACCCAUGCAUGAGCAAGAAUUAUAAGGUUAGAGGCUCUCUCUACACACACGUGAGCGGGGGGUGCAAAUCCAAGACCGAUUUGGUUGAACUCGUGUGCGCCCGCGCAUCCUGCAUACGCGAACGUCAGCCCAAGCUUGCAUGACACGUUUUUAAUUUUCUUUUAAAUUUUUUGUAACAGUUUCACAAUUUUUUAUUUCAAAGAAUUUGUAACAGCUUCGCAAUUAUUUUUUUGGCUGUUAUGCAAUUCAAUUUUUGAAUUCAAUUGGCUGUUACAACAAUUAAAUGUCAUAUAUUCAACAAUUUCACAAAUUUCACAGUUCUUUAUUUCAAAAGGAUUUGUAACAAUUUCGCAAUUAUUUUUUGGGCUGUUAUGCAAUUCAAUUUUUGAAUUCAAUUGGCUUAUUUGAAUUUAAACAAUUCAAUUGGCUGUUGCAACAAUUAAAUGACAGAUAUUGAAUUUGGAAAUUCAAUACUACGCUACUGUUACAUCCUCACGUGUAUAAAAAGGUAGUUUCCUCUUCUGUUUUUAACACAUAGAAACCAGCACACAGAGCAUUUAAAAUUUUCUUUCCUCCUUACGUCUUGUUCUUGAUCGAGUUUGUAGUUGUUGUGGUUCGCUGGAGUUAUCUAUCUGUGUUUGACGGAUAAUUCGUGCUUGUUGUAUCCUGAGAAACAGUUACCAGCAAACCUAAAGCACUGCAGUAGGUGGUAAAUCUGUCUUAAGGACAUUGUGUUAUAGGCCUCGGAUUUAUUUUUUUUGGUUUCUAGUUGCUGUUUUUUGCUGUUGUUUAAUAUCAGUUGCUGGCUUGCUGCAGUUUAAUUAUGUUGCCAAUUAAUUUCGUGUAAUUAGCUAUUGGUUUAUAUUUCUUAACUCACUGUUGUUAUUUUUCGAACAAUAUGUAUGUAUGUAUAAAUAAGUUUUAUAAAUUUUAGUACACUUCUUGGAUGCAGGGUCUGACAUAGGUCGACACAUUUUUCUUUUUGAUAAUGCUAAGCAAAAGCCUCCAUUGCUCUAUACGAAUAGUGGAAUAUGAUAAUGAAAAUUAAUUAUGUAUGGGGAGCACCCCCCAACUCUCUUCUUACACAUAAUAUGGGUUUCCUUUACAAACUUUGAUGAAAUUAAUCCAAAAUAAUUAAAGCAACAUUAUGUAUUAUUUGAUUUUUUAAAACAAAAAAUUUACAAAGUUAACAAUUGAACUCAAAAUUUACAAAUUGCCAAUUGAACUCAAC
rnacentral:lncRNA from 1 species